rnacentral:rRNA from 1 species
CCGAACUACGAAUAAUGAAUGGUCCAGGGUAGGCAAAAACUAAUAGCUCUUUUAUGAUUAUGUGAUAGGUGGUGCAUGGCCGUUCUUAGUUCGUGGAGUGAUCUGUCUGCUUAAUUGCGUUUCAAAACAACUGAUACACAGAGUCUUGGCACAGUUCAGUUUAAUGGCGUCGAGUAUCUUUGAUUUCGACAGUAGUCCAACUCGGUUCGCCAGGGUCUCUUUUGAACGCAACGGACGUGAUCGCAACCCUUUGUUGAGUGAUGUCAGCACUCUACGUCUAUCCUAGCUCGUUGAUCGCAAGUGAGAGUUGGGUGGGCAAACUCAGGGGACAGCUUCAACUAUUCUUCUUCAAACUAGAGGAAGGUUGCGGCAAUAACAGGUCUGUGAUGCCCUCAGAUGUUCUAGGCUGCACACGUGCUACAUUGAUCAGCACAAUGCGAUACAUUUCGAAAGGAAACAUCGGUUUUAAGGUAACGUCGAUUGCCUACCGAUAGCACCUGGUCCUCAGUGGACUGGGCAAUCUCUUCUAAAUGCUGGUAAGGUACCCACACUC